rnacentral:rRNA from 1 species
CAUCGGUGACAGGUGGUGCAUGGUUGUCGUCAGCUCGUGUCGUGAGAUGUUGGGUUAAGUCCCGCAACGAGCGCAACCCCUAUUGUUAGUUGCCAUCAUUCAGUUGGGCACUCUAGCGAGACUGCCGGUAAUAAACCGGAGGAAGGUGGGGAUGACGUCAAAUCAUCAUGCCCCUUAUGACCUGGGCUACACACGUGCUACAAUGGUUGGUACAACGAGUUGCGAGUCGGUGACGGCGAGCUAAUCUCUUAAAGCCAAUCUCAGUUCGGAUUGUAGGCUGCAACUCGCCUACAUGAAGUCGGAAUCGCUAGUAAUCGUGGAUCAGAAUGCCACGGUGAAUACGUUCCCGGGCCUU